UAUCUCUGUAGAGUCUGCAUAUCAAUAAGCGGAGGAAAAGAAACUAACUAGGAUUCCCUCAGUAACGGCGAGUGAAGCGGGAAGAGCUCAAAUUUGAAAUCUUCAAGGUUCUACCUUGACGAAUUGUAGUUUAAAGAAGUGUUUUCUGUUGGUAGUUUUGGUAAAAGUUCUUUGGAAUAGGACAUCAUAGAGGGUGAGAAUCCCGUAUUUGACCAUUACUUCCAGCUUUGUGAUACACUUUCAAAGAGUCGGAUUGUUUGGGAAUGCAGUCCAAAAUGGGUGGUAAAUUUCAUCUAAAGCUAAAUAUUGGCGAGAGACCGAUAGCGAACAAGUACCGUGAGGGAAAGAUGAAAAGGACUUUGAAAAGAGAGUUAAACAGUACGUGAAAUUGUCAAAAGGGAAGCGUUUGACACCAGUGUUGUUUUCUCGAAAAUCAAUUAAAAAAGUUGGAUUUUGUAUUGUUAAGACCUUAUCAGCUUACUGUACUCUUUUCUUGCUUUUUUUAAUGCACUUUUCGUUUGACAAGUCAACAUCAAUUUCUUUUGUUGUAAAAGAGUCAUUGGAAGGUGGCUUUCACUUCGGUGAAAGUGUUUAUAGCCUUCGGCUUCUGCAAUCGGAGAGAUUGAGGUCUGCAGCGUAGAUCCUUCGGGGCUAGAUACGUAGAUGCUAAGUUAUAGUUUUUUAUAGACAACUUGUUGACUAUAAUUAAUCAUGUAGCUUACUCGUUUGCGCUAUUUUACCUACGCUUAGGAUGUUGAUAGUCACAGCGUGUAC
rnacentral:rRNA from 1 species